GCGGUCAUGGCGGAACGGCAGACGCGCUAGCUUCAGGAGCUAGUGGGGGCAACCCCGUGGAGGUUCAAGUCCUCUUGGCCGCACCA
rnacentral:tRNA from 2 species